rnacentral:rRNA from 1 species
AUACGGAGGGUCUGAGCGUUAAUCGGAAUUACUGGGCGUAAAGCGUGCGUAGGUGGUUUGUUAAGUCAGAUGUGAAAGCCCCGGGCUCAACCUGGGAACUGCAUUUGAAACUGGCAUACUAGAGUAUAGGAGAGGAAAGUGGAAUUUCAGGUGUAGCGGUGAAAUGCGUAGAUAUCUGAAGGAACAUCAAUGGCGAAGGCAGCUUUCUGGACUAAUACUGACACUGAGGUACGAAAGCGUGGGUAGCGAACAGGAUUAGAAACCCUAGUAGUCC